AUUGAACGCUGGCGGCCGGCCUAACACAUGCAAGUCGAGCGAGCGGCGGCCGGGUGAGUAAUGUAUGGGGACUGCCCGAUCGAGGGGGAUAACUACUGGAAACGGUGGCUACUCCCGCAUACUAUCGGAUAACCCCUAUUGGAUUAGCUAGUAGGUGGGGUAAAGGCUCACCUAGGCGACGAGCUCUAGCUGGUCUGCGAGGAUGAUCAGCCACACUGGGAAUGAGACACGGCCCAGACUCCGACGGAGGCAGCAGUGGGGAAUAGUGCACAAUGGGCGAAAGCCUGAUGAAGCAAUGCCGCGUGUAUGAAGAAGGCCUUAGGGUUGUAAAGUACUGUCAGCGGGGAGGCGUUACCCGCAGAAGAAGCAACGGCUAACUCCGUGCCAGCAGCCGCGGUAAUAC
rnacentral:rRNA from 1 species